rnacentral:rRNA from 1 species
UACGUAGGGUGCGAGCGUUGUCCGGAAUUAUUGGGCGUAAAGAGCUCGUAGGCGGUGUGUCGCGUCGGCCGUGAAAACCUGGGGCUCAACUCUGGGCGUGCGGUCGAUACGGGCAUCACUGGAGUUCGGCAGGGGAGACUGGAAUUCCUGGUGUAGCGGUGAAAUGCGUAGAUAUCUGGAGGAAUACCGGUGGCGAAGGCGGCAUCCUGGACCAUUACUGACGCUGAGGCGCGAAAGCUAGGGGAGCAAACGGG